rnacentral:rRNA from 1 species
GAUGAACGCUAGCGGCAGGCCUAACACAUGCAAGUCGAGGGAGAAUGCAGCAAUGCAGGGAACCGGCGGACGGGUGCGGAACACGUAUGCAACCUGCCCUAUCCAGGGGGAUAGCCCGCCGAAAGGCGGAUUAAUACCCCGUAAUAAUACGGAGCCGCAUGGUUUUGUAUUUAGAGGAGCGAUCCGGGAUAGGAUGGGCAUGCGCAGCAUUAGCUAGACGGCGGGGUAACGGCCCACCGUGGCAAUGAUGCUUAGGGGCCCUGAGAGGGGCAUCCCCCACACUGGGACUGAGACACGGCCCAGACUCCUACGGGAGGCAGCAGUGAGGAAUAUUGGUCAAUGGGCGGAAGCCUGAACCAGCCAUGCCGCGUGCAGGAAGAAGGCCCUCUGGGUCGUAAACUGCUUUGGGUGCCGGCGAACCGCGGGGACGUGUCCCCGCCUGACGGUAGGCACAUAACAAGCACCGGCUAACUCCGUG